rnacentral:lncRNA from 1 species
CAGAUGUUAGCUCAGGGUCAAUCUUCCUCACCACAAAAAGAAUAGGAUUCUGAACACAAAAAGUUUAGCAAUGCCUUAACCAUUUUAUUUUCCGUUUUACAUGAGUACGAGAGUCAUAUCUCAUUUUAAAAUAUAUGAUUAAAAGUAGGUCUAAAUAAGUCUAAAAGGGAUCUAUUAAUAAUGUGAAAUAAAAGGUCAAAACAAUAAGAAAGUAUUAUGUCAUAAUUCAGUUGGCAGUGUUUUUUCUUUAUUGGUGACACAGAAAACAAUGGUGCAUCUUGUCACUCCACAGUGCCUUAGAAUCUACAGAAUGCUUCAUGUUGUUUAUACUUAUUUGGGGAACUGUAAAAUGAAAAAUUCUAAAAUAAAUCCUCUCUAAUACCUCUUCUUGUUCUGUAGUUCUGUGCUUUUCUGUGUUGAAGCCUGGAUCUCAGAGCUGAUGAAGGACAGUGUCCAGGGACUCAGGUCCACUUUUUAAGGGCCAUGAUUCCACUUUGCUGCCCAAGCAAGGAAGCACAAACUCAAAGAUGGAAGGUCCAAAGUCGGAAAGGGCAGGUGAGCUGAUCAAUGGGAGCGUCUUCACAUCCAGCACAGAAAUUCUUCUUUCCUAACAAAUUCCACUGUUCAACUUGUUUCAAACUCCAGAAUGAGUAACUGCAUACGUUAAAAAGUGCAUUUAUAUCCAGAGGGGAGUGUUUGUAUAUAUGUUUUAGUUAAUAAAUAAAAAAGUAUCCUGACCUCUGAGAGUCACUCAAUAAAUCACGUCUAUUAUUUACAUUUAUCAUCAUUAUCCUUAACUUUUCCGCAUAUCCUUUAUUAGGGAACAGUUUGUUCUGCUACACUAUUGCUGCUAUGAGUCUUUCUUUCAUGACAAAACAGACUCCUGAGUCUUUUUUAUUCAUAUUUUCUCAAUUACUAUUAAAAAGUUAAUUUUAAAUUUCUCAGUAUUUGGGGUUUUAUUUUUUGUGUAUAUAAGUUGACUCAGUAUUAAUUAUAAAUUUUAUUGCCUUGUAAUCACAAAAUUGACCUAUAAAUUUUCCUUCUUUCCAUUUAUUUGCAUUUUUAUCAGGCCAAGUAAAUUAUAAUUUUAAAAUAAGUUUUCAAGGUAAACUUGACUGUUAAUAUUUAAGGUGUAGCAUCACUUAUGUUUUUAAAAUAAGUUUUAGUGUUCACAUAUUCUAGAUUCAUACUUAUUUUUGGUCAUUUUGCUCAUAAAAAUGAAGAAAAUCUUAUUAUAUUUCUAUUGAAUCAUUUUAAAAUACGAGUCUACCAUGUCGAGAUUCAUGAAAGAAAGCCAAACAAAUAUUCAGGGGAAAAAUAAUAUCAUUUAAAUAUUUUCAUUAUUAGAAAAGAAAGUGAAAAGAUAAACUGUUUGAAUAUUUCAGAUUUCAGGAAAACAAAAGAAAAAUGUUAAAGAAUCUAGGAGAAAGAAAACAAUGCAAAUAUAAUCAAUUCAAAAGUAAACUUAAGAGCAAAUAAAAAUAUUCAAAAUAAAUUAGAUAAAUUUUGGAAACUUUUAAAAAGCAAAUAGCAAGUGAAAGUAUAUAUGAGAAAUCAUGAAAUAUGUGGAAAAAUUAAAAUAUCACUGACAACACCAAAUUCAGUGAUAAUCAAUAAAUUAGAAGUUAAAAAUGAAAUGGUAAAAAUGACGUAAUGAGAAAUAGACAAUCAAGGUUUGAGCUGGACUUCCGUCCUGGAGAGGUCUGGUCUAUGUCUCGUUCACCCUGUUUACGCUCCAGCCCCUCAGUGGUCCGAGUGAAAAGCCUGCACUGUUCACCAGGUCUCAUCCUCCACGGUGAGCCCUGGACUCUGAUUUUUGUCCCUCCAGCCCUGAGAAGUUGCUGAAAGCUCUUUUCAGUGUCUCAGCCUCUUAGCUACCACUUUAGGUUUUGUAAUUAGCAAUCCUCUUAAAGAGAAAUGUGGCCCCAAAUGUUGAGCUCAACCUCCUUUGGCUCCUCUAGAUCUUGUCUCUGCAUAUUUUCAUUGCCUGGGUAGCUCUCUGAUGGCUUCAACCAUCUGUUUUAUUUUAUUUAGCUUGUACUCCAUGGGAGGGUUGGUCCAAACCUCUGGUCAACCAUAAAUAGAACUCAAUUUAAUCAUCUUUGAAGAUAAACAGAUCUUUCAGGGUCCACUCUUUAUAUAAAAUGCUUGCUUUGGUGCAUUCU